AAAGAAGGAGGAGGAAGAGGAGGAGGCGGCAUGAACAUAGCCCUAAUGGCUCAUCCAUAAGACUUGCUUACGUGAUCUCUGUUUUAUUUUUCCUGUAGUGUUAACAGUUAUUCCUCCCAUAUCCGUGGAGCAACCCUCAUCUGACUCUCAGCAGGCAAAUCCAGAAGGCCCCUGUCCAACAAAUGGGGAAGCUGUUGGACCUCCAGAAUCACGCCAGUCACACGUUCUGCAUCCUUGCUUAUAACUGCUUUCACCCCAUGAACACUAUCUAAGGGGCAGCGCCGGAUGUCCAUCAGCAGAUGAACGGAUUAAGAAGAGGUGGUAUGUGUACAUAAUGGAAUAUUACUCAGCAAAAGUGAGCUCUUGCCAUUUGCAAUGACGUGCUUGGAGCUAGAAGGUAUUGUGCUAAGUGAAAUAAGUCAGUCGGAGAAAGACAAUUAUCAUAUGAUUCCACUCAUAUGUGGAAUUUAAGAAACAAAACAGACGACCAUAAUGGAAAGGAAGGAAAACUAAAAUAAGCUAAAAACAGAGAGGGAGGCAAACCAUAAGAGACUCUUAUCUAUAGGAAAUAAACUGAGGGUUGCUGGAGAGGAGGUGGGUGGG
rnacentral:lncRNA from 12 species